rnacentral:rRNA from 1 species
GUGAGGCGGAGCAAAACACAAAACACAGUCUCAGUUCAGAUUGUAGGCUGAAACUCGCCUGUAUGAAGUCGGAAUUGCUAGUAAUCGCGGAUCAGCAUGCCGCGGUGAAUACGUUCCCGGGCCUUGUACACACCGCCCGUCACACCAUGGGAGUCGAUAACACCCGAAGCCUGUAGUCUAACAGCAAUGAGGACGCAGUCGAAGGUGGGAUUGAUAAUUAGGGUGAAGUCGUAACAAGGUAGC